GAAUCGAAAUGACGUCACUAUAAUCGAGUAUAUUGUCGAUUCCUUACAGAAACGCACUACUGUAAUUAAAAAGCUGACUAUUCCGUUGAUUAACUUAAUUGCUCAUAUUAGCUUCUCUGUUAUAAUUAUUAUGUUGCCUAUGAGAAGAAAAAUUCAUGUUAUUAACAUUAUGUUCACAGUUAUUCUUUCCAUGAGCUGUUUGGUGAUGUUUAUAGUUCAAGCUCGGGAAAACCAUAUUUAAAUGAGUUUAAAGCAAUCCUAGCAUUGCUUUCACUACUUAUACUAGAAGAGCUGUUGCCACAAAAAGUUGAUGCGUUAUUUAACCGACAUAAUAAAGUAUUAAGGGAAUUAUAAAAAGUUUCAAUUGUGGAAGUACAUCUACAAAUUCUAAUUUUGUCAAUGAGUUCAUCAACUGAAUUCUUUUCGCCAUGAUUAUCUAUAAGGACUUUUCUUAUUUCUGGCCAUUAAAACUGUCUAACAUUGGACACAUGUAAUCUAUACGCUGUACAAAAUUUAAUAGUGCAUCUCUGUUUCCGUCAUAUGGAGGAAUGCAAUUUAAGUUGGUGGAAAUGAGCUCAAAUUUUACGUUAAUGUUUAAACUAUCCAUAUUUGCUAAACUAAAUUAAAUAAAAUGCCAAA